rnacentral:rRNA from 1 species
GACGGAGGGGGCUAGCGUUGUUCGGAAUUACUGGGCGUAAAGAGCGCGUAGGCGGUUUAGUAAGUUGGAAGUGAAAGCCCGGGGCUUAACCUCGGAAUUGCUUUCAAAACUGCUAGGCUAGAGUGUAGUAGGGGAUGAUGGAAUUCCUAGUGUAGAGGUGAAAUUCUUAGAUAUUAGGAGGAACACCGGUGGCGAAGGCGGUCAUCUGGGCUACAACUGACGCUGAUGCGCGAAAGCGUGGGGAGCAAACAGG